UACGGAGGGUGCAAGCGUUAUUCGGAAUCACUGGGCUUAAAGGGAGCGUAGGCGGGCUAUCAAGUCUGGGGUGAAAUCCCACGGCUCAACCGUGGAACUGCCUUAGAUACUGACGGCCUCGAGGGAGAUAGGGGCAUGCGGAACUGUAGGUGGAGCGGUGAAAUGCGUUGAUAUCUACAGGAACUCCGGUGGCGAAAGCGGCGUGCUGGAUCUCUUCUGACGCUGAGGCUCGAAAGCUAGGGGAGCAAACGGG
rnacentral:rRNA from 1 species